GGCAAAAGGCGGGAAGCUACCAUGCAGUCGAGCGGUAGCACAGAGAGCUUGCUCUCGGGUGACGAGCGGCGGACGGGUGACAAUGUCUGGGAAACUGCCUGAUGGAGGGGGAUAACUACUGGAAACGGUAGCUAAUACCGCAUAACGUCGCAAGACCAAAGUGGGGGACCUUCGGGCCUCAUGCCAUCAGAUGUGCCCAGAUGGGAUUAGCUGGUAGGUGGGGUAACGGCUCACCUAGGCGACGAUCCCUAGCUGGUCUGAGAGGAUGACCAGCCACACUGGAACUGAGACACGGUCCAGACUCCUACGGGAGGCAGCAGUGGGGAAUAUUGCACAAUGGGCGCAAGCCUGAUGCAGCCAUGCCGCGUGUGUGAAGAAGGCCUUCGGGUUGUAAAGCACUUUCAGCGGGGAGGAAGGCGGUGAGGUUAAUAACCUCAUCGAUUGACGUUACCCGCAGAAGAAGCACCGGCUAACUCCGUGCCAGCAGCCGCGGUAAUACGGAGGGUGCAAGCGUUAAUCGGAAUUACUGGGCGUAAAGCGCACGCAGGCGGUCUGUCAAGUCGGAUGUGAAAUCCCCGGGCUCAACCUGGGAACUGCAUUCGAAACUGGCAGGCUAGAGUCUUGUAGAGGGGGGUAGAAUUCCAGGUGUAGCGGUGAAAUGCGUAGAGAUCUGGAGGAAUACCGGUGGCGAAGGCGGCCCCCUGGACAAAGACUGACGCUCAGGUGCGAAAGCGUGGGGAGCAAACAGGAUUAGAUACCCUGGUAGUCCACGCUGUAAACGAUGUCGAUUUGGAGGUUGUGCCCUUGAGGCGUGGCUUCCGGAGCUAACGCGUUAAAUCGACCGCCUGGGGAGUACGGCCGCAAGGUUAAAACUCAAAUGAAUUGACGGGGGCCCGCACAAGCGGUGGAGCAUGUGGUUUAAUUCGAUGCAACGCGAAGAACCUUACCUGGUCUUGACAUCCACAGAACUUUCCAGAGAUGGAUUGGUGCCUUCGGGAACUGUGAGACAGGUGCUGCAUGGCUGUCGUCAGCUCGUGUUGUGAAAUGUUGGGUUAAGUCCCGCAACGAGCGCAACCCUUAUCCUUUGUUGCCAGCGUUCAGGCCGGGAACUCAAAGGAGACUGCCAGUGAUAAACUGGAGGAAGGUGGGGAUGACGUCAAGUCAUCAUGGCCCUUACGACCAGGGCUACACACGUGCUACAAUGGCAUAUACAAAGAGAAGCGACCUCGCGAGAGCAAGCGGACCUCAUAAAGUAUGUCGUAGUCCGGAUUGGAGUCUGCAACUCGACUCCAUGAAGUCGGAAUCGCUAGUAAUCGUAGAUCAGAAUGCUACGGUGAAUACGUUCCCGGGCCUUGUACACACCGCCCGUCACACCAUGGGAGUGGGUUGCAAAAGAAGUAGGUAGCUUAACCUUCGGGAGGGCGCUACCACUUUGGAUUUACCGGC
rnacentral:rRNA from 1 species